rnacentral:rRNA from 1 species
GACGAACGCUGGCGGCGUGCUUAACACAUGCAAGUCGAACGGAAAGGCCCUGCUUUUGCGGGGUGCUCGAGUGGCGAACGGGUGAGUAACACGUGAGUAACCUGCCCUUGUCUUUGGGAUAACUUCAGGAAAAUGGGGCUAAUAUCGGAUAGGAGCUCCUGCUGCAUGGGGGGGGUUGGAAAGUUUCGGCGGUUGGGGAUGGACUCGCGGCUUAUCAGCUUGUUGGUGGGGUAGUGGCUUACCAAGGCUUUGACGGGUAGCCGGCCUGAGAGGGUGACCGGCCACAUUGGGACUGAGAUACGGCCCAGACUCCUACGGGAGGCAGCAGUGGGGAAUAUUGCACAAUGGGCGGAAGCCUGAUGCAGCAACGCCGCGUGCGGGAUGACGGCCUUCGGGUUGUAAACCGCUUUCGCCUGUGACGAAGCGUGAGUGACGGUAAUGGGUAAAGAAGCACCGGCUAACUACGUG